GUCUCGGGGGGAUGGAGAGUUCACAGGGAGGAACCCAUUCUUCCUCACUCUAAAAAAAAACUUCAUCUCCAAAUUCUCUCGCUUCUCUCUAGAAUUCCAGCACCUUGAACCAUAGGAAUUCAACUCUGAUGCUACCAUGGCCUCCGCGGAGUAGAGGGCUUCUUUUCAACCGAACGUUUUCGUCGUUCCGAUCGGGGCAGAGUGCUUGGCUGUAGGAUGAUUGUGCUUGGAGAAAACCAGAAGAAGAAUCGUCACGUGAUCCUGUGCAGAUGAAGGAAGAGAUGGAGGAACAAAUUAGAGGAAUUCAAUGUUAUAGUUUCAGUUAAAGUCUGAGCAUAAAACUUAUGUAUAGAUUUAUGUAUGAGGUUACGGGGUAUUACUGUAAAUGUAUUAUUAUGUUAUUUUAAAUUUUGAAUUUUAAAGGGUGAAUUUUUUGUAUGUUACACUUUUUAUGUAAAAUAUUUAUUCAAAUAUAAAUAUAUAUAUAUAUAUAUAUAUAUAUAUAUAUAUAUAUUUAUUUA